ACUCAUUUUGUUGAUUUUUUUAUUGAUAAUCAAGCUCUAUUUUAUUUGCAAUGUUAUUAUAAAUUUAAUUUUAUUGAAUUUUUCAACCUGUUUCGUGAUUUAGUUUGUUAUUGUCGAGAAUCUUGAAGUAUUUCCAAAAUUUCUUUGUUUCUCUUGUGAUUCACUUGUUGGUGUGUUUGAUAUCUGCUGUGUUUUCAAACUAUCGAAAUGGGAUUAAGUAACAUUGGAACCUGUUUAUUUGUGAGUUGAUUAAUCAUUUCUAAUGUAAUUUAUCGCUCUUUGUGCUGCUCUUCAUGAUGUAUGAUUGUUUGGUUAGGAACAAACUUGUUCUUAUUCACUAGAGAUUUUCGUCUGGCAAGGAAUCAAAAGAGUCUGUUACAAUGUGUAUAAAUGUAAGUGGAUAUUUGUUUUUACUCGCAUCUUUGAUUACUCUUUUGAUUAGUCUAUAUCAUUUGAAUAUCGAUAUCAAAACAAGAAACCUUAUAAUGAAUUAUCUUUUUGUCUUCGUACUUUGCUCUAGUUUGUUGGUCAGUUACGUGCAAUCAACUUCAUGUGUGGAAGGACAUUGUAAUGCAGUUUUAUGUCGUGCUUUACCAGAAAGUGAAUGUCCAGCAGGCACAAAAUGGGUUCAAAAUUAUGGUCCAUGUGGAUGCUGCCCAGGAUGCAUAAAAUUAUUGCAAUAUGGUGAAAAAUGUGUUCCCCUGGUCGAUGCUACAGAAAUUUGUGAUGAAGGUUUGGUCUGUCGCCAGCGCAAUAGAAACGCCAGAAACUCUCGCUGCUUAUUCCCGACUAAUUUUGGUUAUGCAUUCUAACAAUUGAACGGGUAAAUCCAUAUUUGAUUACGCUAAUGGUAUCUUGCUACGGGGAAGUCUAUCGCUCAUAAAAUUUUAUCUACUAAAGUAUUUUCACUUUGCUGCAACAAUGUUGGGAAAAGCUUGGUUGAAAAAUAAAUGUUAAUCUAAUUUAUAAUGUAAACCUCUCAGUUUAUGACCAUAAAUUGAUGAAUAAUACAUCAUAAUGUCAAGCAGAACAAAAUGUAAAAUUCAGUAAAAGAUUUUGCUCGCUUCAAAACAAUCUAACAAAUGUAAGCUCAAGAAUUUUUCCAACUCUUGUAUUCACAUAUGGAAAUAUAAUUUUCUUUCUCACUGUUCACUGAUUUUCAACAAACACAAUUCAAAUUAAAGUAAACUGCUGAUGUAGUCAUUCAUACAUUGACUCAACCAUCAGCUUAAUCUAUCGAA